AUCUUUUUCUGGAGAUCCCUCCCUGGUGUAGCUUUCCCCUGUGAAUCUUCUGAUACAGGUGCCAUCUCCCACUAGGUACUGGAUGGAUGUAGAACAGAAAGCAAAAACACCAUUACGCAACUGCAGCCCAGAUACAAACAUUAUUUUUGGAAAUACAUCAAAAGAUAAAGAAUCAUUUGAGAAAGGAACACUAAUCAUGUAGUGGUGCUGAUCUCCGUGCACUUCUUGGAUUUCUGGAGACCUUUUUCUGUAUGUUAUAGGCCAUGUAGAUGAGAUAAGACUAAAUACAGAAAUCAGGUGCAGAUUUUCCUUAAGUUGGACUUGAUUCUCAGUUUGGGAUUAUGUAGGUACUGAGGUCGAAUCAGCUGAGUGUUUUUUAAAUUUACUGGAUCACAUGCAAGCUUCAAGACCUUUCUGUAAAAUGUUGGCACAGCUCAGUUUUUUCUAGCUCAAUAACACUGGCUUCAGUGAGAUGGGUUCCAUGAAAUCUUUCAGAGACAAGUCUCUUAAAAUAUUUCAGCUGUGGCUUCAAAGUCUCUGCUUUCAUCUUGAGUUGUCUGUCAGAUUGUAUGGUAUAUGGGAAAUAUGGUUUAGGGGAUAAAAGAGCAGAUGGGCGUUGUGGUUUAACACUAAUAGGUAGCCACGCACUACAUAGCCACACUAUCACUUCCUCUGCUUCACAGGACUGGGUGUUAAAAUGCAACGAAAAGCUUGUGGAUUGAGAUGAGGACAUUGCUCACCAUUUGCUGUCACAGGCUAAACAGAUGGUGCUUGUAGAAGGCUAACUUACUGCCAAUUAAUAACAGCAUAGAACAGCAAGAAAUGAAAGCAAAUGGUAAACAACUUUUGCUCAUUCACCUUCAGAUUAUUAUUCUCCUUUACUAAUUUCAUGUAUCUGGUUAGUACUCGAAAAAUUUUAUUUUAACUUGCUAAUAACAUUUUCAUCACAGAAAUAAUUGUACCAGUAUCAAAUAAUAGCAGAUCAGAAUCCAUAUUGCAGUUUCAAUAAUUCAUUUUCAAUGCAAUAAUUUAAGUUUAUUAAGAAAAUUAUGUUAGCUGGUAUUAACUUGUAAAAUUAAAUGAUUUCCAUGUGAGUUUUAUGGUAUGUAUUACAACCAAAUUAUUAAUAUGAUGUACAAAAUUGAUUUUCACAAGACAUAGACAGAAUACUAUAUACUAUAGAAUACUAUAUAAUCAAACGUAUUUGAUAUCUAAUGUGCUAAACAAGUUUAAAUCAGCGUUGUUAAAUUGAAUAUUAAUAAAAAUUUAAGAAAAGCAGAUUGAAAACUUAAGAAUUCAGAGUUAAACUAUUAACAGAGUGUCUCCUUAAAAAUUUGAGUUAGUCAGCAGCCCUUGUGGUUAACUAAGCAUUGUGUACAACUUUAACAGUUCUGUUGCAUUCAGCAUUAUAUAAAUUGUUUAGCUGGCUUGCCAGUUACUAUCAGCUGCCUUUGCCCUUAUCUGAACACAGAGUACACAUUCGAGCACUGCUUGAUAAACAGACUAUUCUGGUAUUUCUGGUAAUAAUGAAUUGUUAUUCCUAAUG
ensembl:lncRNA